rnacentral:rRNA from 1 species
UACGUAGGGUGCAAGCGUUAAUCGGAAUUACUGGGCGUAAAGCGUGCGCAGGCGGUUUUGUAAGUCUGUCGUGAAAUCCCCGGGCUUAACCUGGGAAUUGCGAUGGAGACUGCAAGGCUAGAAUCUGGCAGAGGGGGGUAGAAUUCCACGUGUAGCAGUGAAAUGCGUAGAGAUGUGGAGGAACACCGAUGGCGAAGGCAGCCCCCUGGGUCAAGAUUGACGCUCAUGCACGAAAGGCGUGGGGAGCAAACAGG